GCUGUCUUCACCUGCCUGGGAAGAGUCCUACCAAAAACCAGGACGCCUGAACGCCACGAGGAUAGACAGCAGGAAGUAGAUGAGCACCACUGGCCGGGUGUGGGGUCUGGAAUAUUGACCGGAUGUGGCGGAGGGUGGUCGAGUAAAGAUAGGCCCUUGGCCAGCUCCUCAUGACCUUUGAUGGUGAAGUGGAAGCAGUCGUGGGUGAAGAAGCUCAUGUCGAUCUUGCCGCUCUGCUCGGAGAAACGACACAAGCGAGUGAGCGAGAAGAAACGGGAUGUCGUGCGUGAUGAUGUCACAGGAUUGUUGUUGUGGAUUACGGGAAGGCGAGGAGGGUCGGCCUGUUUUAAAAAUGGCUGCAAGACCACCGCAAAGUCAUCUCGGAAGAAGCGAUCGGCGAGCAGCAACGCUUCCAAUCUUCUCUGUGGAAGGAAGUCAAAAUGGAAAUUGUUAUCAGGGACACUUUGUAACAUGAGAUUUGGGAGGCAUGUCCAUCAUAAUAAUACCAGCAAAAAAAUAAAUAAAUUAUAAUAACCUAUGCCACGAACCGGAAGCUAUUUUAGUCCAAAAAAGACAAGAAGGGGCUUUUUGGCCAUUUCCAGGACAGUAGAACACUUUUUUGGGGGGGCCUCAAAGCCAGUUUGACUUAAAAACAUGAAAUUUGGAAGACACGUCUAUCUUGAUUUGAAGCACCAAAAAAAAAAAAAAAAAAAGAAAAACUCAAGUCAUACCAGAAAUGUCGCUAAAGUCUGACAUUUUGGUUUGAAUUAACCUUAUUGGGCUCAUUUUGGCCAUUUUGUCUUAAAAAAGCCAAUUCAGUGCAGCAAAAAUAAAAUAAAAUAAAUAAAUAAAGAU